UUAAAUUGAAGAGUUUGAUCAUGGCUCAGAUUGAACGCUGGCGGCAGGCCUAACACAUGCAAGUCGAACGGUAACAGGAAGCAGCUUGCUGCUUCGCUGACGAGUGGCGGACGGGUGAGUAAUGUCUGGGAAACUGCCUGAUGGAGGGGGAUAACUACUGGAAACGGUAGCUAAUACCGCAUAACGUCGCAAGACCAAAGAGGGGGACCUUCGGGCCUCUUGCCAUCGGAUGUGCCCAGAUGGGAUUAGCUUGUUGGUGGGGUAACGGCUCACCAAGGCGACGAUCCCUAGCUGGUCUGAGAGGAUGACCAGCCACACUGGAACUGAGACACGGUCCAGACUCCUACGGGAGGCAGCAGUGGGGAAUAUUGCACAAUGGGCGCAAGCCUGAUGCAGCCAUGCCGCGUGUAUGAAGAAGGCCUUCGGGUUGUAAAGUACUUUCAGCGGGGAGGAAGGGAGUAAAGUUAAUACCUUUACUCAUUGACGUUACCCGCAGAAGAAGCACCGGCUAACUCCGUGCCAGCAGCCGCGGUAAUACGGAGGGUGCAAGCGUUAAUCGGAAUUACUGGGCGUAAAGCGCACGCAGGCGGUUUGUUAAGUCAGAUGUGAAAUCCCCGGGCUCAACCUGGGAACUGCAUCUGAUACUGGCAAGCUUGAGUCUCGUAGAGGGGGGUAGAAUUCCAGGUGUAGCGGUGAAAUGCGUAGAGAUCUGGAGGAAUACCGGUGGCGAAGGCGGCCCCCUGGACGAAGACUGACGCUCAGGUGCGAAAGCGUGGGGAGCAAACAGGAUUAGAUACCCUGGUAGUCCACGCCGUAAACGAUGUCGACUUGGAGGUUGUGCCCUUGAGGCGUGGCUUCCGGAGCUAACGCGUUAAGUCGACCGCCUGGGGAGUACGGCCGCAAGGUUAAAACUCAAAUGAAUUGACGGGGGCCCGCACAAGCGGUGGAGCAUGUGGUUUAAUUCGAUGCAACGCGAAGAACCUUACCUGGUCUUGACAUCCACGGAAGUUUUCAGAGAUGAGAAUGUGCCUUCGGGAACUGUGAGACAGGUGCUGCAUGGCUGUCGUCAGCUCGUGUUGUGAAAUGUUGGGUUAAGUCCCGCAACGAGCGCAACCCUUAUCCUUUGUUGCCAGCGGUCCGGCCGGGAACUCAAAGGAGACUGCCAGUGAUAAACUGGAGGAAGGUGGGGAUGACGUCAAGUCAUCAUGGCCCUUACGACCAGGGCUACACACGUGCUACAAUGGCGCAUACAAAGAGAAGCGACCUCGCGAGAGCAAGCGGACCUCAUAAAGUGCGUCGUAGUCCGGAUUGGAGUCUGCAACUCGACUCCAUGAAGUCGGAAUCGCUAGUAAUCGUGGAUCAGAAUGCCACGGUGAAUACGUUCCCGGGCCUUGUACACACCGCCCGUCACACCAUGGGAGUGGGUUGCAAAAGAAGUAGGUAGCUUAACCUUCGGGAGGGCGCUUACCACUUUGUGAUUCAUGACUGGGGUGAAGUCGUAACAAGGUAACCGUAGGGGAACCUGCGGUUGGAUCACCUCCUUACCUUAAAGAAGC
rnacentral:rRNA from 1 species